rnacentral:rRNA from 1 species
AACCGCGGUUAUACGAGAGGCCCGAGUUGAUAUGCAUCGGCGUAAAGGGUGGUUAUGAUUUUAAUCAAAUAAAGUUAAACGCCUUCAAGGUUGUGCAACACACCCGAAGGUGAGGAAACUCAACUACGAAAGUGACUUUACAAAAUCUGAUCCCACGAAAGCUAGGGCACAAACUGGGAUUAGAUACCCCACUAUGCCUAGCCGUAAACCACGGUAAUGAAUAACCCACAUAACCCGCCCGGGAACUACAGGCGCAAGCUUGAAACCCAAAGGACUUGGCGGUGCUUAAGAUCCACCUAGAGGAGCCUGUUCUGGAACCGAUGACCCCCGUUCAACCUCACCCUUUCUUGUCACCACCGCCUAUAUACCGCCGUCGUCAGCUUACCCUGUGAAGGCCUUGCAGUAAGCGAAAUUGGCAUACCCCAAAACGUCAGGUCGAGGUGUAGCGAAUGAAAGGGGAAGAAAUGGGCUACAUUCCCUGACGAAGUGCAUACGAACGACACACUGAAACGUGUUUCCGAAGGAGGAUUUAGCAGUAAGUACAAAAUAGAGCGUUGUACUGAAGCCGGCUCUAAAGCGCGC